rnacentral:rRNA from 1 species
AUUGAACGCAGGCGGCAUGCCUUACACAUGCAAGUCGAACGGCAGCACGGGAGCAAUCCUGGUGGCGAGUGGCGAACGGGUGAGUAAUGUAUCGGAACGUGCCCAGUCGUGGGGGAUAACAUAGCGAAAGCUACGCUAAUACCGCAUACGAUCUAUGGACGAAAGCGGGGGAUCGCAAGACCUCGCGCGAUUGGAGCGGCCGAUAUCAGAUUAGGUAGUUGGUGGGGUAAAGGCUCACCAAGCCGACGAUCUGUAGCUGGUCUGAGAGGACGACCAGCCACACUGGGACUGAGACACGGCCCAGACUCCUACGGGAGGCAGCAGUGGGGAAUUUUGGACAAUGGGCGCAAGCCUGAUCCAGCAAUGCCGCGUGCAGGAUGAAGGCCUUCGGGUUGUAAACUGCUUUUGUACGGAACGAAACGGCGAGCUCUAAUACAGUGUGCUAAUGACGGUACCGUAAGAAUAAGCACCGGCUAACUACGUGCCAGCAGCCGCGGUAA